rnacentral:tRNA from 1 species
GGGUAUGUAGUUCAGUUGGUUAGAACAACCGGCUUUUAACCGGUAGAUCAGGGGUUCGAGUCCCUUUAUGCCCA